CCCGGUUCAUGUGACAGACGCGAAUAUUUCAUUACUAUCUCUUACUCCCGCCCUCCAACCCUCGGGGCCCGGGACGGAGGCUGCCUCGCACGCCCACAUCCCACAGAGACUCAGCUGGGUCCUCCCUUGCCCCUCUGGGGCAGCCCGUGUGUCCACUUCCCCCUUUGCCUAGCUUGCUUAAGUGCCUCCUUCCCCUCACCUGCGGCCACGAAGAAACACGAGAGCCCCCCAUACGCCACGAAGCAACCACGAAUCUGUCCGCCCGUAGCCUUGCUAGAUUCGGCCCAGCAGCAGGGCCACUGCGGGCCGCUCGGAUCCCUCAGGCCGCACGCUAAGCCCACAGUCGCCGCUCGGAUCCGCCGCCAUCUUCCACUUGGAGGGAUGUGAGGAACAGGCAGGCCAGGCCACGGGGAAGAGGAGGAGACCACCGCCCUCCCAGUCCCGCCUCCGCCGGGCUGGAGCUCACUGCCACAAAGAAGGAAGGUCUUCAUAAACGCUAUACGGGAUCUGCCUGCUUUACGUAUGCAGUAGAAUGAGAUGAUGGAGGCCUGAAGUGGUACAAUAGAAUGUCGGUUGAGUUACGUGUUUUGAAUGGUCUCCUGUAUCAAUCAAAACAAACCUCUCUGAAGUAGAAAACUAGCCCAGCAGGGAAGGAGUUCCACAGGUCUCCAAAUGCAGCAACAGAAGGAUGACACAUUGAGAGAAACUGCCUACAAACCAGCCUUUGCCAACCUGAUACUCUCCAGAUGUCCUGGACUAUGACUCCCACCAGCCCCAGUCAGCAUAGGAGUUGUAGUCCAAAACAACUCCUGAGAGCCCUCCUGUAACAAGAUGUGCUCAUAAAAGAUUCUUCGCUUUAGCAUCAUUCCUCUAUGACUUGACAAUCUUUUAAGACACAAACCACCCAUGUAUGUUAACCUGCCACCAAGUCAUCAUCAUCUGCUCCUACUAUGUUACUUUAUUCCAUUCUGAUUUACCGUGUACCAUCAAAUAU